AUGUGACCAGUCACCCAAAUUUCCCCUGCGAGGACUCGUGUUCCUGACAGGUCAGGCCGUUGUCCUUUGGCUGGCUCAGCCACUUUGACUUCCAAUGGAGCGGCCGGAGAAGAGCCGAGGCUCUUGUCUUGUCCCCCCACCGAUUCCAUCACCAAACGGUGGCAGGUGGACGGGCAUGAUCAGUGAGGUCCCCGCUCCGUAGCGUCCUCGCGCCGGCCGGCGGCCAUGGAGGGUCACCACCACGGAGGCGCCGUGGAAGGAGGAGGUGAGGUCGAGAAGAGCUCGGCGCUGGGCGAGGUCAAGAGGCAGCUGCGCCUCGCCGCGCCGCUCGCCGCCGGGCUCCUCCUGCAGAAGGUCAUCCAGACCAUCUCGAUCAUGUUCGUCGGCCGCCUCGGCGAGCUCCCGCUCGCCAGCGCCUCCCUGGCCACCUCCUUCGCCAACGUCACGGGCUUCAGCUUGCUGUCAGGCAUGGCGAGCAGCCUGGACACGCUGUGCGGCCAGGCCUUCGGCGCGGGCCAGCGCCACCUGCUCGGCGUCUACAAGCAGCGCGCCAUGCUGGUGCUGGCCGUGGCGAGCGCCCCCGUGGCGGCGGUGUGGGCCUACACCGGCGAGAUCCUCGUGUGGUUCCGGCAGGACCGGGAGAUCGCCGCGGGGGCCGGCAGCUACAUCCGGUGCAUGCUCCCGGCGCUGUUCCUGUUCGGGCAGCUGCAGUGCCACGUCCGCUUCCUGCAGCCGCAGAACGUCGUCGUGCCGGUGAUGGCGAGCUCCGCCGCCACCGCCGGGGCGCACGUCGCCGUCUGCUGGCUGCUGGUGCGCCACCUGGGCAUGGGCGCCAACGGCGCCGCGCUGGCAAAUGCCGUCUCCAACCUCGUCAACCUGACGGCCCUGGUCAUCUACGUCAGGGUCUCGCCGGCCUGCAAGGACACCUGGACGGGGUUCUCCCGCGAGGCGUUCCGCGGCAUCCCCGCCUUGCUCAAGCUCGCCGUCCCGUCAGCUGCCAUGGUCUGUAUGGAGUGGUGGUCCUUCGAGAUCCUUGUGCUUCUUUCAGGUCUUCUCCCCAACCCAAAGCUCGAGACUGCCGUGAUGUCCAUCUGCUUCAACACCUAUGUGUUUGCAUUCAUGCUCCCGAUGGGACUUGGUUCUGCAGCAAGCAUUCGUGUUUCGAACGAGCUUGGUGCAGGACGGCCGCAGGCGGCGCGCCUCGCGACGCGUGUGGUCAUUCUCCUGGCGAUCUCCCUGGGCGUUUGUGAAGGUCUCGUCAUGGUCCUGGCCCGCAAUCUUCUGGGAUAUGCCUACAGCAAUGAGGACGAAGUGGCCUCGUACACCGCUAAGCUGACGCCGAUCCUCGCGGUGUGCACCUUAUUUGACAGUCUGCAGUGUGUUCUUUCAGAAACAGGAAAACAGAUGAUUUCUUAAAUAAAAAGAGAAAUAGAAAAAUUCAGAUAUUUGGACAUUGAGCAUUUCAGUAGUGGAUGCCCACAUGAACGUGGAAACUAAGUGCGAUGGGAGAAGAAGAUUUCCACACAUUUGGACAUUCGGCAUUUGAGCUCAUGCCUUUUGCCAGUUCCUCAAAAUGAUGGCAGUUCCAGACUUCCAGUAGUAAAUGGACAGUUUUUAUUUUUGCUAAAAUUAACAUGUAGGUAGUUUUUAGUUUUUGGUGUCAUGGAACCAGGUGAUGGUUUACGUAGGUAGGCUAUGUACUUGAUGUGCAGGUGUUGUUAGAGGCUGUGGCCGGCAAAAGAUUGGUGCCUUUAUCAACCUUUCUGCAUUCUACAUUGUUGGCAUCCCUGCAGCAUCCAUAUUCGCCUUUGUCUGUCAUCUCAGAGGAAUGGGACUCUGGCUUGGUAUCUUGUGUGGAGUAGCAGUGCAGAUGCUCUUGCUUCUCUGCAUCACCUUGUGCACCAACUGGAACAAAGAAGCGCUGAAGGCCAAUGACAGAGUUUUCAGUUCGUCUCUUCCUGUCGGCAACACGUUAACAUCAGGUGGUAGCGAGCAUCCAAAUGGAUGCAGUUUUGUUGGUAAGGAUGCGCAAGGGACCAUUCAGGGGACAAAGGGUUCUACCACUCCGAGCACAGGUUGAUGGCAUCAUGUACUUGCUGCUUUGCCUUCGGUUAGAAGCUUUCUUCAUCCUUGUGUCUAAGAAAAAAAAUGCACUUAGGAAUCUGUAGCAGAGGACUGAAGAUGUAUUCAAUUGGUUUUAGAAGUCUGCACUCUCGGUAAGCAAAAAUUCAGGUUUAAAAAUGCGUUGCAAAUGCUGACGAGCGUUAGUAAGACA